rnacentral:rRNA from 1 species
GAUGAACGCUAGCUACAGGCUUAACACAUGCAAGUCGAGGGGUAGCACGGAAGAAGCUUGCUUCUUUGGGUGACGACCGGCGCACGGGUGAGUAACACGUAUCCAACCUGGCCCAUACUCGGGUAUAGCCUCUCGAAAGGGAGAUUAAUCCCCGAUGUUGUCGUUGUUCCGCAUGGUACAUCGACCAAAGUUUUUCGGUAUGGGAUGGGGAUGCGUUCCAUUAGCUUGUUGGCGGGUAACGGCCCACCAAGCCGACGAUGGGUAGCCGACCUGAGAGGGUGAUCGGCCACACUGGAACUGAGACACGGUCCAGACUCCUACGGGAGGCAGCAGUGGGGAAUAUUGGUCAAUGGACGAGAGUCUGAACCAGCCAUGUCGCGUGAAGGAAGACUGUCCUAUGGAUUGUAAACUUCUUUUAUAUGGGAAUAAAGUGAGAAACGUGUUUCUUUUUGUAUGUACCAUAUGAAUAAGCAUCGGCUAACUCCGUG